rnacentral:rRNA from 1 species
AGUGAACGCUGGCGGUAGGCCUAACACAUGCAAGUCGAACGGCAGCACAGUAAGAGCUUGCUCUUACGGGUGGCGAGUGGCGGACGGGUGAGGAAUACAUCGGAAUCUACUUUUUCGUGGGGGAUAACGUAGGGAAACUUACGCUAAUACCGCAUACGACCUACGGGUGAAAGCAGGGGAUCUUCGGACCUUGCGCGAUUGAAUGAGCCGAUGUCGGAUUAGCUAGUUGGCGGGGUAAAGGCCCACCAAGGCGACGAUCCGUAGCUGGUCUGAGAGGAUGAUAGGCCCAACGGAACCUGGAAAACGGCCCGACCCCCUACGGGAGGAAGAAGUGGGGAUUAUUGGACAAUGGGGGAAAGCCGAAUCCAGCAUACCGCGUGGGUGAAGAAGGCCUUCGGGUUGUAAAGCCCUUUUGUUGGGAAAGAAAAGCAGCAGGUUAAUACCCCGCUGUUCUGACGGUACCCAAAGAAUAAGCACCGGCUAACUUCGUG